rnacentral:rRNA from 1 species
UGCCAGCCGCCGCGGUAAUACGGAGGGGGUUAGCGUUGUUCGGAAUUACUGGGCGUAAAGCGCACGUAGGCGGAUUAGAAAGUUAGAGGUGAAAUCCCGGGGCUCAACCCCGGAACUGCCUUUAAAACUACUAGUCUAGAGUUCGAGAGAGGUGAGUGGAAUUCCGAGUGUAGAGGUGAAAUUCGUAGAUAUUCGGAGGAACACCAGUGGCGAAGGCGGCUCACUGGCUCGAUACUGACGCUCAGACACGAAGGCUAGGGUAGCGAAAGGGAUUAGAUA